rnacentral:rRNA from 1 species
UACGUAGGGUGCGAGCGUUAAUCGGAAUUACUGGGCGUAAAGCGUGCGCAGGCGGUUCGCCAAGUCAGGUGUGAAAUCCCCGGGCUUAACCUGGGAAUUGCGCUUGAAACUAGCGGGCUUGAGUGUGGCAGAGGGGGGUGGGAAUUCCACGUGUAGCAGUGAAAUGCGUAGAGAUGUGGAGGAACACCGAUGGCGAAGGCAGCCCCCUGGGCCAAUACUGACGCUCAUGCACGAAAGCGUGGGGAGCAAACAGG